GUUUCCUUGAACUGAAUUGAAUUUGUGCUGCCUCUUCGGCCAAGCUACCAACUAAUCAGGCUAAGGGGCUUGUACUGCUGUGCUGGAAUUCAACAGCGGGGUGAGGAAACUUCAUGAUUACACACUACUGGAGGAGCUGGGAGGUAAAUUGCUGAAGGAGCUAGAGAAUGGGAGAGUGGAAGAACUGAGGUGGCCAAGAACAAGGAAUUCUUCUUCUAGUGCAUACUCAUGAGUUGCUGCUGGUGUGAGGACACCUGUACCAAACACCAACACAGUUAUGGAUUCAGAUUCUCCUCAUUUACAAUUGUUUUGGGGAAAAGCCCCCAGAAGGAAGCAGAAUAAAAAAUCAAGCUGAAUUGUACGGUCCGAAUGAUCACCAUCUAUUAUUGAUAUGAAGCCUGCCAAGGGAUUGAACUGAAAAGAUGCAAAUACCAAUAGAGCCCAGAAUCCUUCCUGCUGGGAAUAACGCAAGGAGAGUUUUCCACAAGCAAUUUAACAUUCUUCAUGUAUGCAACCACGGCGGCCAGAACAGUAUACGCACAGAAAUGGAAGGACAAUGAACUGCACUCAAAAGAAGAUUGGCUGAUAAAAAUUUUGGAAUACGCAGAGAUGGCAAAACUUACAGUACUGAUAAGAGAUCAAAAUUUGGAAGGUUUUACAGAAGAUUGGAAACCAUUUUUACUGUACUUAAAGAACUAUUUUCCUAAUAUUGAUUUUUCAACAGGGUUUGAAAUUUAGCAAUAUUAGCAGGUUGAGUAGACUAAAACCGAGUUUGGUAAGGUAUAGGAUAUAUGUUUUGAAUUAUUAUAGCAAGGGUUAAUUGUAUAAUUAGUGAUUCGCGCUGAUUAGUGAGCUGGAAGUCAAUUUUGUUUAAUGUUUGAUGUAAUGAGAUUCUUAAGAUGUUAAAAUCAAUAAAAAAUUUAAA